rnacentral:rRNA from 1 species
AUCAACUUUCGAUGGUAGGAUAGAGGCCUACCAUGGUGGUAACGGGUAACGGGGUGUUAGGGCACGACACCGGAGAGGGAGCCUGAGAAACGGCUACCACAUCCAAGGAUGGCAGCAGGCGCGCAAAUUACCCAAUCCCGACACGGGGAGGUAGUGACAAUAAAUAACAAUACGGGGUUCUUUCGGAUCUCGUAAUUGGAAUGAGUACAAUUUAAAUCUCUUAACGAGGAACAAUUGGAGGGCAAGUCUGGUGCCAGCAGCCGCGGUAAUUCCAGCUCCAAUAGCGUAUAUUAAAGUUGUUGCAGUUAAAAAGCUCGUAGUUGAAUUUCGGGGUUAGUAAGUUGGUCAUGCCUUUGGUAUGCACUGGCUUUACUGAUUCCUCCUUCUUGACGAACCGUGAUGUCAUUAAUUUGGUGUUGCGGGAAAUCAGGACUGUUACUUUGAAAAAAUUAGAGUGUUUAAAGCAGGCUAACGCUUGAAUACAUUAGCAUGGAAUAAUGAAAUAGGACGUCGAUCCUAUUUUGUUGGUUUCUAGGAUCGACGUAAUGAUUAAUAGGGAUAGUUGGGGGCAUUAGUAUUCAAUUGUCAGAGGUGAAAUUCUUGGAUUUAUUGAAGACUAACUACUGCGAAAGCAUUUGCCAAGGAUGUUUUCAUUAAUCAAGAACGAAAGUUAGGGGAUCGAAGACGAUCAGAUACCGUCGUAGUCUUAACCAUAAACUAUGCCGACUAGGGAUCGGAUGAUGUUAAUUUUUUAAUGACUCAUUCGGCGCCUUACGGGAAACCAAAGUGUUUGGGUUC